rnacentral:rRNA from 1 species
UACGAAGGGGGCUAGCGUUGCUCGGAAUCACUGGGCGUAAAGGGUGCGUAGGCGGGUCUUUAAGUCAGGGGUGAAAUCCUGGAGCUCAACUCCAGAACUGCCCUUGAUACUGAAGGUCUUGAGUUCGGGAGAGGUGAGUGGAACUGCGAGUGUAGAGGUGAAAAUUCGUAGAUAUUCGCAAGAACACCAGUGGCGAAGGCGGCUCACUGGCCCGAUACUGACGCUGAUGCACGAAAAGCGUGGGGGGAGCAAAACAGG